AUGCCAAGCUCUGGAGGGGGAUUUUUACGCUGGCAUAAUCCCAUCCCCUCUGUUCUGUAAACACUCCCAGAAGGCUGUCCCGCUCCAGGAAUGUCUGCAAAAUAUGAUGAUAAGAAUAAUUGAAGUAUGUAAUAAUGUUUGCAUUGUUCAAGAAAAAAAAAACAGGACAUGGGUUUGAAUGGAAUAACUGAACGUUACGUGGUUGAUUUUCAGGUAGUGUCUGCUCAUUUCAUCACAUUGGCAUGGUGUCUACCAAUUCCCUAACACAACUUCUAAACCCACUUUUCCACCCUUAAGAGCCUUUCUUCGAGGCCAAUGCCAUUUUGCAGUCCUAUCCCUUCCACCCUCCACUGCUGUUAACUGCCAAUUGCCUGGGUGCUGCCCUUCGUUGACUACAGCCAGGGGUUCCAGAAUCCCUCUUUGCCUCCCAUAGAGGGGUCCCUGUGCCGCCACAAUCGCUCAUCUCCACGUCAUGGGUGUUGUCCUUCCAACACACACUGACGCCUCUAUUUCAACAAUUCUGGAGCCUGUGCUGCCUCUCCACGCCUGCUGAGCUGCUUCAUCACAUCAUGGGACACCAGAAUGGCAAGAAGCAUCCUACCAGCCUCAUGGGAGGGACUCAACUUCAAUGCAUGCUUUCCAUUUGAAUGGGAGUGGUUGGGCGGCUGGAGGCCACUGUGAGUCUGAGGAUGGAGGCAAGAUGUGAAGAUGCUGGAAUGAGGAAUGGGAAGGGAGUAGUAAGAGGUGAGCUGAGGCCUGGUCUACAUGAGCAUAGCCCCAAUGCUGUAGAGGGUGAGGGUAGUGUUAUGUGCACACACUGCUGGUGGGCUGCACCUUGCACAAAACAAUUUGGCAAUACACACCAAUAACUUUAGAAAUGUUUAUACAUAUUGGUCCAGUAGUCCCACUGCUGGGAAUCCAUACAAAGGAAAUAUUUAUAUUCAUAAGGAAAAGACAAC
rnacentral:lncRNA from 1 species